GACGAACGCUGGCGGCGUGCUUAACACAUGCAAGUCGAGCGGUAAGGCCCUUUCGGGGGUACACGAGCGGCGAACGGGUGAGUAACACGUGGGUGACCUGCCUUCAGCUCUGGGAUAAGCCUGGGAAACUGGGUCUAAUACCGGAUAUGACUCCAUGAUGCAUGUUGUGGGGUGGAAAGCUUUUGCGGCUGGAGAUGGGCCCGCGGCCUAUCAGCUUGUUGGUGGGGUUAUGGCCUACCAAGGCGACGACGGGUAGCCGGCCUGAGAGGGCGACCGGCCACACUGGGACUGAGACACGGCCCAGACUCCUACGGGAGGCAGCAGUGGGGAAUCUUGCGCAAUGGGCGAAAGCCUGACGCAGCGACGCCGCGUGAGGGAUGACGGCCUGGUGUAACU
rnacentral:rRNA from 1 species